rnacentral:sRNA from 1 species
AAAAUGCGUCCAUGUCUUAUGAACAAUGAAUUUUAGAUGUGCCGCCUCUCUUCAUCUACGUGAGUGCAUCUGUGUGUGUUUGAGAUGGCGGCAUGUUUUU